UGCCAGCCGCCGCGGUAAUACGAAGGGAACUAGCGUUGUUCGGAUUUACUGGGCGUAAAGAGCAUGUAGGCGGAUUGGACAGUUGGAGGUGAAAUCCCGGAGCUCAACUCCGGAACUGCCUUCAAUACUUCCAGUCUAGAAUCUGUAAGGGGGUGGUGGAAUUCCGAGUGUAGAAGUGAAAUUCGUAGAUAUUCGGAGGAACACCAGUGGCGAAGGCGGCAUACUGGGGGAUUACUGACGCUGAGGCACGAAAGCCAGGGUAGCGAACGGGAUUAGAUA
rnacentral:rRNA from 1 species